rnacentral:rRNA from 1 species
GUUUGAUCCUGGCUCAGAGCGAACGCUGGCGGCGUGCUUAACACAUGCAAGUCGAACGCGCAGUUUUCUGUAGCAAUACAGGAAGCGGGCGCGUGGCGAACGGGUGCGUAACACGUGGGCAACUUACCCUCAAGUGGGGAAUAACCCAGCGAAAGUUGGGCUAAUACCGCAUAACAUUCCGAUGGCUGCUGCUGUUGGAAUCAAAGGUCGCAAGACCGCUGGAGGUGGGGCCCGCGCCCGAUUAGCUUGUUGGUGAGGUAACGGCUCACCAAGGCUAUGAUCGGUAGCCGGUCUGAGAGGAUGGCCGGCCACACUGGAACUGAGACACGGUCCAGACUCCUACGGGAGGCAGCAGUGGGGAAUCUUGCGCAAUGGGCGAAAGCCUGACGCAGCAACGCCGCGUGGGGGAUGAAGCUUUUCGGAGUGUAAA